CAAAUUAGAGCUUGUUAAAGUAUUUCAUUUACAUUGAAAAGAAAUUAUUAUAUGAUUAAUUUGA
rnacentral:tRNA from 1 species